AAUGGGGGAAACCCUGAUGCAGCGAUGCCGCGUGAGUGAAGAAGGCCUUUGGGUUGUAAAACUCUUUCGUCGGGGAAGAAAAUGACUGUACCCGAAUAAGAAGGUCCGGCUAACUCCGUGCAGCAGCCGCGGUAAUACGAAGGGACCUAGCGUAGUUCGGAAUUACUGGGCUUAAAGAGCUCGUAGGUGGUUAAAAAAGUUGAUGGUGAAAUCCCAAGGCUCAACCUUGGAACUGCCAUCAAAACUUUUUAGCUAGAGUGUGAUAGAGGUAAGUGGAAUUUCUAGUGUAGAGGUGAAAUUCGUAGAUAUUAGAAAGAACACCAAAUGCGAAGGCAACUUACUGGGUCACUACUGACACUGAGGAGCGAAAGCAUGGGUAGCGAAGAGGAUU
rnacentral:rRNA from 1 species